GAUGAACGCUGGCGGCGUGCCUAAUACAUGCAAGUCGAGCGAACAGACGAGGAGCUUGCUCCUCUGACGUUAGCGGCGGACGGGUGAGUAACACGUGGAUAACCUACCUAUAAGACUGGGAUAACUUCGGGAAACCGGAGCUAAUACCGGAUAAUAUCUUGAACCGCAUGGUUCAAUAGUGAAAGACGGUUUUGCUGUCACUUAUCGAUGGAUCCGCGCCGCAUUAGCUAGUUGGUAAGGUAACGGCUUACCAAGGCAACGAUGCGUAGCCGAACUGAGAGGGUGAUAGGCCACACUGGAACUGAGACACGGACAAGACGCCUAAGGGAGGCAGCAGUAGGGAAUCUGCCGCAAUGGGCGAAGGCCUGACGGAGCAAGGCCGCGUGAGUGAUGAAGGUCUUCGGAUCGUAAAACUCUGUUAUGAGGGAAGAACAAAUGUGGAAGUAACUAUGCACGGCGUGACGGUACCUAAUCAGAAAGCCACGGCUAACUACGUG
rnacentral:rRNA from 1 species